rnacentral:rRNA from 1 species
AGCGAACGCUGGCGGCAGGCCUAACACAUGCAAGUCGAACGAAGCCUUCGGGCUUAGUGGCGGACGGGUGAGUAACACGUGGGAACGUACCUUUUGGUUCGGAACAACUCAGGGAAACUUGAGCUAAUACCGGAUGAGCCCUUAGGGGGAAAGAUUUAUCGCCGAAAGAGCGGCCCGCGUUAGAUUAGCUAGUUGGUGAGGUAAAGGCUCACCAAGGCAACGAUCUAUAGCUGGUCUGAGAGGAUGAUCAGCCACACUGGGACUGAGACACGGCCCAGACUCCUGCGGGAGGCAGCAGUGGGGAAUCUUGCGCAAUGGGCGAAAGCCUGACGCAGCCAUGCCGCGUGAAUGAUGAAGGUCUUAGGAUUGUAAAAUUCUUUCACCGGGGACGAUAAUGACGGUACCCGGAGAAGAAGCCCCGGCUAACUUCGUGCCAGCCGCCGCAGAAACAC